rnacentral:rRNA from 1 species
UACGUAGGGUGCGAGCGUUGUCCGGAAUUAUUGGGCGUAAAGAGCUCGUAGGCGGUGUGUCGCGUCGGUCGUGAAAACUUGGGGCUUAACCCUGAGCUUGCAGUCGAUACGGGCAGGCUAGAGUUCGGCAGGGGAGACUGGAAUUCCUGGUGUAGCGGUGAAAUGCGCAGAUAUCAGGAGGAACACCGGUGGCGAAGGCGGGUCUCUGGGCCGAUACUGACGCUGAGGAGCGAAAGCGUGGGGAGCGAACAGG